rnacentral:tRNA from 1 species
AAAGAUGAAGCGAUUAUUUGCUGUUAGUUUCGACCUAAUCUUAGAAAUUUAUUUUCCAUCUUUU